GUAGAAAUAGUUUAAUAUAAAACUUUGUUUUUGUAAAACAAAAUUAACUUUUUUAGUUUUUUUACA
rnacentral:tRNA from 1 species